rnacentral:rRNA from 1 species
GUCUUAUUGAUAUAAAAAUAUAGUAAGUUGGCUCUGCCCAUUGAAUAUUGUAAUAUUUAAAAGGCUGCAGUAUAUUAACUGUACAAAGGUAGCAAAAUCAAUAGUUUUUUAAUUGAAAGCUGGAAUGAAAGAGUUGAUAAAAUAUAAAUUGUCUCAAGUUAAAAUUUUAAAUUUAAAAUAAAAGUAAAAAUGCUUUUAUUAGUUUAUUAGACGAGAAGACCCUAAGAAUUUUAUAAAAAUAUUUUUAAAUUAAUUUGUGAAAUAUAGUUUAAAAAUUGAAUUAUUUUACUGGGAGGGUAAUUAAAAAUUAAAAACUUUAAUGUUAUAUAAACAUAGAUAAGUGAUUAUUAAUGAUAAUUUUUAUAAUUAUGAGUAUUAAUUACCUUAGGGAUAACAGCGUAAUAAUUUUGGAUAGUUCAUAUUGAUAAAAUUGUUUGCGACCUCGAUGUUGAAUUAAAAUAAAAAUUAAAUGGAGAUAUUUAAAUUUUUAGUCUGUUCGACUAUUAAAAUUUUACA